CAGGAUGCUGCAAAGACUUAUGCAUUGGGAGCACCCGGAUCUAGUUCAACCAACGGCGGGACAUCGGCUGCUUAUGACUGAAGCAUAUUUAGUGCAAUCACCAACCGGAUCUCUAUUGCUUGUGUCACAAUGGGAAGAACGUGAACCUGCUCAAACCUUUCGAUUUCAGGUUUUUGAGAUUGACUUGAAUACUCCAACGUACACAGAAGUUAAGAGCUUGGAGAACACGUCCCUCUUCUUGGGAUCCAAUUCUUCCUUCUAUUUGGAGGCCAAUGAAGAGCAUCACAUUAAGCUGAAUUGCAUUUACUUUGCUGAUGAUUCAUGGCCCCGGCUGAGUGAAGAGGGAGGAGGCAGGGACAUGGGAAUAUACCACAUCGAAGAUUGUACGACCGAGCUGUAUUUUAUGGCAAUGGCUUAUGACCAUUAUUCUCUUCCGCUUUGGAUUGAACCAAGCUUUUAACCAAUAGCGAAAGAGUUUGGCUUUUUAAUUAUUGAUAAGGUGAGUAGAUUGGUAGAAGGCAAUGCUGUAUAUAGUGAGGAAUUAAUUUCAAGUUUUAAUAGGUCAUUGAAAGUGAAAUUGUACUGAAAAUCAUCUGGGUUGCAUGAUCAAGUUUUUUCCUUAUUUUAUUUCCUUUAAUUUGCGGCAUCCACAUGCGUUAGCAACGGCCAACGUAUUGGUUAAAGCAAUAGCUUGGUUCUCAACACAUUUUCUCAAAUCUGAAAUUGUGUGUUAGAUGCUUCAAAUUUUGCCCCUAAUGAUGACGAAUGUUUCUCAAUGGAUGUCUCGGCCUUUGUUUCAUAUCAUGUCCGUGCUGUUUGAAAACGAAAACAGGGAGAAGGCAAAAUAUAGAGCUGAGCAGGUAAGAAACUAUGAAGAGAUGAGAAUAUAUUGAUUCCUUACUAUUAGGAUUUAGGUUAGAUCCACAGAUUGUGAAAAGAAUUCUACAAGGAUCUUGAUUGCGAGAGAAGAGAAGGGACAAUGACAUUAGUAAUUAUCCAUGUUGUUAACAAGGAUCUCCCCAAUCUUUGACGAUGAAUUGCUAUGUCUCCUUAUUUGAUUCGCUGAAGAUUUAGUGUUUGUUGACCCAAAAAAAUAAAAAUAAAAAUAAAAAUGAAGAUUACGUGUUUGGAAUUUUUUUUAUGUGUGUGUAUAUAUAUAUUACAUGUCUACUAAUAAUAUUCCUUGUGUUUGGAUUUUAUUGAAGACUGCUUCUAAUGACGACAUCUUGACAUCCUAAUGUCGAGUAUACCUUCAUUCAGAGAGUGCAAGCGAGAUAGGACUCUCUGUGUAAUUCGUAUAAAUCACAUAAAAAAUUUCAGGACAUUUGGAGCUACUUAAACCAAAUGGCAUUUUCAGAAGACGAUGCACUUAAAUGGCGCGGUUCAAUUUUCUGUUGAUCAGAACCUUGCUUACAUCAAAGCAACUCAUCAUAAAACUUUUUAACAGUUUUCCCAAUUUGUUCACUCGCAAUUAUUUCCGGAUUAAUGGAUAUUCACGUUUAAUGUUAGAGGUUUUCAAUCUCUGGAAAUGAUUUUUAACGACCGACUCAAGCCAUUUGCUUUGCUCUUAUCUUUGCAAGGAAACACAGAUUUUGGUAUCUAACUUCUUACGUUGAAGAAUUCUUUCCUCACUUGCCCACAUUCUUCUUGAUUCUAAUUUGUUAAAUCUGCAGGAGUAUUGCGACCACAUCUCAAGUCCCUACAGACCCAAAUACUUAAAAAAUCGACUUUGAUUUUUAUUUCCAUUUCUUGUGUUUUCCACUUCCCUUUGUUAACUUCGAAAAAAUUAUCUUAAAACUCCUGAACUUAUUGUAAAUUGGCCAAUUCAGUACUAAACCUUUCAACCAUGUGAUCUCUCCAUGCAUGGAUAACGCACUUCCGUGUCCCCUUGGUCGGACAUCGCUCAUUGCCGUGACCAUAGUAACCCUUCUCUGUCCUUGUCCCUUGUCUCUGGUCUCUCCGAUGAAUCCUGCACUCUCCCGUUUCAUGCCAAGCCAACCUUUUCCUGUAACUUCCGAGAGUGGACCGAAAGAUUCCACAUAAUAAUUGAUGGUCGAUGUUCGAUCGCGCUCAUAAACUCGCGGAGAAUUUGAAAGAAGGCGUGCGCGCGGCUGCAUUUGGAGCGGCUUUGUUUCUCUUCUUCUUCUUCUUCCGAGAACCUGGCUCAUGGUUAGCUCGCGCUUCGAAUCUAUUGCGUAUUGACUGAUUGACUGUUUUUUGGACUCUUUUAGAUGUAAUUACAGAGAUUAAUUAAUCUUCUUGAGACAAACCUUCACUUCUUUCCGAUCCUCGUUGAUGUUUUGUUCUUUUUUUUAUGUGCAAACGAUUAUUUUAUCAGCUUAAUCCGUUUACAGACAAUCCGUUCGCCUCUGUUUAUGAUGGUGUUCGAGAUCAAUUACUUCCUGGCAAUGACUGGACAGUAUCGGCAUCUAAAUUUGAAACGUGAGUGGCGAUUGGAAAAAAAAUACAGCGGUGGUGAUCAUAACGAAAAUCAAAGCCUCACACAUAAAUCUGGGAGAAUCUCUCCUUUUAGCGAAUGCAAGAUAAAAAUGGGUGGAGCCCAUUUUUAAUUUAUUUCCUCUUUUCCAGUCCCUUUAGUCUAAUUUAGUCAAUGGGUUCGUUAUCUUUAAGAUGAACGAUUCGCAAGCAGAUACUCCUUUUGGAAAUUUUCAUAUUGAAGAUCUUUUGUAUUGAUUACUGGGUUAGUGUUUGGUCAUGGUUUGAUUGCUUCUUUCUAUUCUGCUUGUGGUUGAAAUCUGGUUUCCAGAAUCGCAGGGAAUGUCAUUCUUUUCACUUUCUUAAGUGAAAGAUAAACUGUUAUGGGUUUGGGGAGCUGGAUUUUCUUCCUUUCUUCAGAUAAAAAGUAAAAAUUCGUGUGGUAUUGGAACCAGGAAAUAUGACGCAUCAUAAACUUAACUAGAUUUGUUAGGCGGAAUGAAACGAUUUGCUUGAUGAUCUCUGGUUGAGAGCUUUGUAGUUUCUAAACUUGGCUUCUGAAGGAAAUGCCUUUUCCUUGCUUACUGCAUGUGAGAUUGUAGAUGAAUAUUUUUCCCUGCAUUUGUGUAGCAUAUGUCUCAGCAUGUUUAAUACGCAAGCGUGAAGCACAAAUGAGUUUCAGAGGUCAAGAUCGUCACUUUUAUUUUUCUGAUGAUAUUUUGGUUUACCGUCUGUUUUGUUGGUCAUUGUCAUGUUAAAACUCAAGUCUGCAUAUGAUUCGUUCGAACGUCAUUAAUCAAUGAAUUAUCGUGAUUAUAGUAUCUCUUCCCUUUUAAAGGAGGGAUGAAGACUAGCAUUUAAUCGGUUGCUUCUAUCCUUCCAUCAAUAUGCCAAACCUUGGAGAUUGGACAGAGAAAGCUUGUGUUGUAGAAACAACGGCCAAAUGAUUAUUCUGUCAUGCCUCUUUCUAACCGGGCCACCACCGGCGAUCUCAUUGUCCACAUUCUCCAGCUACUGCGCAAUUGAAUGAAUUAAUUACCUCGCUAAAAAUUAAAUGUAUGUGGCCAAAAAGUACAUGUAUACUUCUGUAUUUCACGUAAAAUUUACCGCGCAGCGGGGUGGAUGAAGGCACACCAUCCUUACAGUUGCUAGGUGCUCCAAGUAAUUUAUUUGUUUGUUUAUUUUUUGUAUAAAAUGCAUACAUUGAGGAAACCUACGGACUUUUUUUGGUGAACAAUGUUUUACGAGUAAAAAAAAGGUGCAUGAAAAUUAGUCUAUCACAGAAAUAAAUUGAGAUAAAUUGCGUCUGGGCUAAUAUAUGCACAUGCCGAUCCCAUUGCAUGGAAAUAUAUAUAUAUAUAAUUAUUCCAUGGAGUGGUAUAUUAUGAUCGUCAGUCUCCCAAAUAUAAAUUGUAAUUCAUCAACUCUUGUACUUGAGAAACUCAUCUUUUACUUACAAAUCUCAUCUGCUUUGCUCUCGAAGCAACAUGCAUGCAAACAAAAACUUCCUUACUCUCUAUCAACUAGAUAUAGGCCUAUUGGUUUUUAAAGUUUUGGAAUCUUGUCUUUAGGAAUUAGAAAGUUUUCUAUUUUGUGGAUAUCCUUUCUUGUGAGUAAAUCUUCUAAAAUGUAUUCUUGAGUAUAUAAAUACCCACCUAAGCUUAAUGGAAAUAUACACCAAUUUCUGUCUCAACGCUCUUUGUCCCUUUCCCUUUGCUUGUCAAUGACAACAACUUCUAGGAGCUUCCCUCAAUCAUUCAAAUGCGGCGGACAUGGAACUAAAGCCGAAGAUCAUUUUCAAGAAACCAUGGCUUCCCUUGCAAGCCGGAUAAAUCCUAAAUGUAUCACGAAGAUGAGACUCUUGACAUGUUUUUACUUGGAACAUUAUAAUAUGGCGCAUAACGAUUCUUUUGUACUUCUAUGCUUAAUUAGAUUCCUGAGGGGAGAUUUUAUAUGCAACUCAAACUCAAGCGAUGCUUCGUUAUGGGAGCAAGUUGGUAAUGUUUAAUACUAAGCAAAAAGAAAAGAAGAAAGGAAGCUACUGAAUAGGCUUAUAGACCUAUAUAAUUAAACGAUGAAGUGUGGAUCUAGACAUAGCUGAGCAGAAAUGCCUGAAACGUACUAUUGUUUUCGAGACGAACUAAUAUUAAACAAAUGAAGUCUAACCGUGCGUAUCAAACAAUCAAAUCCAUUCGGCUUUUUGCCCGAAAGAUUAUUAGUUCCUUUCUUUUCCGUUCAUGGAACGAGAGACGCAUAUUAUUUCCUCUUUUCAAAAUCGAUUUUGGUUUUCUCCCACUUGGCCUCGCCUUCCCCUAUUCCUCAUCAAUGGCCGCGCCAUCUAUCUGCUCCGAGAUUUCCGAACUUGGCAGCACUAGACUAAACAUCGGGCAUCUCCUUUAUUUAUAUAUACGAGACUUCCCAGCUCGUUUACACUGCUUAAGACAACAAAACAAUACCAUGUCUAAGUUAAAGAUCAUAGUCUCUACGACGAGCUUGCUCUGCACAAGGAUUGAAUGGACUCUAAAAUUGAAGGGCUUCGAGGACGGGAUGAUUGUUGAAGAUUGGAGGAAGCAGAAGAGCGAAUUGCUUUCGAAGUCAAACCCAGUGCACAAGAAGGUCUUGGUGCCUUUGGACGAUGGGGUGGCGAUUGCAAAGUCGAAAGUGAUCCUGGAGUACAUCGAUGAGAAGUGGAAGGGGGGCGAUCCUUUUCCGUUAUUGCCUCAAGACCCCUUCCAGUUCGUUUCCGGGAUCAGUCUGCUUGAGGAAAAGGCGACUCUUUUGACCAUUUUCCCCCAAGUUAUUGUUUUCUCGCCUGCCUGUGUUGUUUUGUUCACGUCAUGGUGAGUAUGAGUUAUGGUGGAGCAAUUAUUUAACUAGAUGCUUUUAGGGGAAAAUUGGAGUUUAUCGUGUAAUCUGAUGUAUUGUAUGUAGAUGUACAGACCACUUUUCCGUUGAAUGAUGCUCCCUUUUCCCCCCCAAAGUUGAUCUUUAGGAAGUUGAAUUUGAAUUGCCGUGCCAAUGGUUGGGGUCUAGUUCAAGCUUGUUGCUCAAUUGGCUUGAGUUUCUAUUAGAUACAUCUAUUGAAAGCUCACUCGAGUUUUCCAUUCUUCUUAUUUUGUCGAUAACUUUCUUGCGUUCUCAUGCUCGGUCGAUGCAUACGAGAGAGAGAGAGAGAGAGAGAGUUUUACUUAGACAAGAAUGCGGAGGGGAACCGUAUUGAUGGAAAGGCGUGAUGAGGGGAAAUCUAUGUUUGCCUUGAAUCCCCAAUUUCCAUGGAUGGGUACACGACAGGUAUCAAGCGAAAUGCCACCUCCUGAAUGGCAGGAUCAAUGCCAUGGAAUAUGGAUGAAGCUCCUUGGAAUUGGGAUUUUCUUCUUCAUAUAUGCAUUUCUGAUGAAACCAUAUCUGCAAUCGAGAAAAUUCCGCGGAAAACAACGGACCCUUAAAUUCAAUAAAAGUGGAAAAUCAGUCAUAGUGUCGUCUUUGCCAAGGGUAUGCCUACUCAUGUGCCAAAAGAAUAAUGUUAUUAAAUCAGCUUAAUAGUUAGCAAAUUUUCUUCUGGCAUCCAACUCACCUCUUUCAGAAAUAGUGGUCUUUCAUAUUAUGCAAGUUUCUGGCUACAGCAGAACUAAUUUCUCAUCAAGUCAAAUAAUUCCUCUUGACGACAAACUUGCCUUUUUCUUCUUCUUUCCCGUAUCUUGAGGAGCAGAUUGAAAGGAAGUUCUUCGUGGGGGAGAAGAUGGGUUAUUUGGAUCCCACAUCGCUCGGCAUCAUGGAAGAAGCUGAGGCAUGAAUAUACUUGAUGCUGAGAAGUUCCCAUCCCUUCACGAAUGGGCACAAAACUUCCUCCAAAUUCCGCUGAUUAAGGAAUUGUUCCACCUAGAGAUGUGCUGGGUAACUAUGCCACUGCUCUCCUGAGCUACCUGCGUUCCUCAGCACCAAACAAGCCAUAAAGGAAGCAUUGCUCGUGCUCAUCUCCCCUCUUUUCCUCUCUUAUACUUGUAACCUUCUGAUAUGGCGCCAGGACAUGCUUAUUCUGUUCUGACCUUAAUCAGUGCCGAGUCCUCUAAAUAACCAAAACCGACAUCUUCACUGCCUCCCCCUGCUCCCGCCAAUCUAACGUUGAAGCUACAGCUUUCAUUUGGUGUGGUGAGACUGCUCAGUCCUUUUUGGGCAGAUGUAUCACUAUCGAGAGGGCUUAAUCAGUGCCGAGUCUUCUAAAUAACCAAAACCAACAUCUUCACUACCUCCCCCUGCUUUGGUGUAGUGAGAUUGCAAAGUUCUUUUUACGUAGAUGUAUCACUAUGGAGAGGGCAAGUGUGACGUGAAGGUUGAAUUAGUUCUUGGAUGAAAAAAGAUUGAAUUCAUUAUCGUGUGGUGUCAUAGAAUUCGCUACGACUUGUAGGUCCUCGAUGUGAUGAAAUAGAAUAUGUUGCUUCAAUGCAUCAUACGAAGCACUCGAAUUAGGGGUUUUGUUCGUGUCAAAAUGCGAUUGGGAGAUACCUAGAUAUGGGAUCACAUAAUUAUUGCAGAUAACUAUUUGCUGCGCUAAUCGCCAGUAACUUCAUGCACUUGUCUUCUUAUGUUUUGACUCUCCUUGUCAAGCCGACAACCCCCACGGGUGUGUUUUCAUUCCCUCGAGAUUGAUGUCCACGAAAAUUGUAGUAUGUACUUGGAGUUUUCGUCUUGAAGAUUGUCCAACCCUUAUCUCACCGACAUGGACACACCAAUCAUAAGGUCUUUAUAAAUUCUGCUGAAUAGCAGGGUUAGAAAGCCCACCUGCUUAAACCAAUCUACUUGUAUAAUUUAAGUACCGGCAGUCCGUUUGAGCAACGUGAACUUGAUGCAGUCUAUCGAAGACACGAAAAUAGAUGACUCUUCAUGCUUUCGAGACAGCGAGUCAAAAUAAUCACCUAACAUCUCAUUCCCGAAUCUCAAGUUGGUUUUGGGAAGCCAAUGGAAAAAAUAAAAGCGCUCACUCAUCGCCCCCAAAAAGAAAAAAAAAAAAAAAAAAGAACUGUUCUGAAGCCGACAAAGAGGUUUGUUUGUGUAUUAUCUCUGGCUUUCCUUGAUGGUCCUGGCCUUGCCUUGUAAACUUUCGACAUACAGUGACAAGAAUAGCAAUUGUGGAUAGUAGUCAACAUACAGCGACAAGAAUAGCAGUUGUGGAUAGUAGAUGUAUAUCGUGGAUGGUAUGUGUACGUCUGGGCAGAAUUUACAACAAAUUUCAUUCGGUCUGAAAUUCGACCGGUCGGCAUUGAAAACCUCAAAAAAGCAACCCAAAAAGAAAAAAGAUCUAGUUACAAGUAAGCACAACUAUUUCUCCAUGUGCUCACUAGGACACGAGUGCGAUGAGAUCAUCCAACCCAAUCUCCCUCCCAUCUGUUGAAGCCCACUUCCCGAAAGCUUUCUUCGCUAGUGCCUUCUUCCUCUCCUGCAACUUCAGUAUCCUCUCUUCGAUACUGUUGCUUGCUAUCAACCUCACAAUCUUCACAUCCUUGUUCUGCCCGAUCCUGUGCACUCGAUCCGUGGCUUGUUCCUCGACCGCAGGGUUCCACCAUGGUUCCAGCAGAUAAACAGUUGAUGCAGCCGUCAGAUUUAAACCGGCACCGGAAGCCUUGAGGCUGGCGAGCAACACGGUGGCUGUACUUUGCUCUGCCACUCCAAACUCUUCGAUCACUUCUUGCCUUCUCUUUGCGCUCAUCGAACCGUCCAGGCGCAUGAUCUUAAAGCCAGCUUCUCUAAGUGGCCCCUCCAGAAUCAAAAGCAUUCUUCUGAAUUGCGAAAACACAACUGAUUUUGAGCUCAAGUUGCGAUCCUUCGCUGCAAGUAAAAGAUCUAAAAGAGUGGAAACUUUGGCAGAAGAAUGAUUUUCCACUUCGCUGCUUUUGCAUGACUCCGGUGGAGCAGAGAACAGGUCAGACUCAGUCAGAGGACCGCGACAAAGGGGGCACCGCCUUUGCGAGUUCUGCAAAGUCUUGAGAAUGCAGGCUCGGCAAUAGAUGUGAGCACAGCGGGUAAUUAUGAGAUUUGUACACGGAAAAACACAUAUUGGGCAAUCGAUAUCUUCAGUAUCUUCUAGCACAGCAACCAACUUCUUCAGCAACUCCGGAUUAUUAGAUACAUCUGCCACAUUGCAAAUGCUCAGUACAUUGCACAUCUAAGGAAAAGCACAAACGACCUCCAGAAUUGUAGUUGGUCAUCCAAGCGCAAACCAUUGACAUGCAUCCUAAAGUAUGACAGCAUCUACAGCCCAGUAACUAAAAGUCAGAAAAUUCACUCGCAUAGUUAACCAAAAGUACCAAUUCAAGGAAAUCAUUUAUUAGACAAAGUUAAAGUUCUGCAUAGUCUUAGUGUUCGUCAAGCUCUGCAUAACAAAACACUUCUUCAGAUCCUAUUCAUGACUCCCAAGGCAAAUUUAGAUAGCAAGGUACAUUUGCAGACAAAAUGUGCCGUACUAAGAUUCCGAUUGUCAUAACAAACCCAACAUCAGAGAAAUUAUUUAGUCCCGCAAUGCUUCCAUACAUUGACUGGCAUGUGCCACAUAUCCAAUUAAUACUGUUGAAGUAAUCUGACUCUGUAUUUGAGUUGCAGGCAUGCAUGUACCCGACAAGGAUUUUGAUCCAGACUGGGCUCCUUUACAACCAAGCUAUACACAGGUCGAAGAUAACUCAAAACCUAAAGCAUGUCCAACUCCCAUCCUGCCAUCUCGGAGCUAAGUCAAAAUUUGAUACUGACCUAGCCAUUGCCCUAACUAAGUUCCCCAGAUAGGCAAAACUUGUUUAGAUCAUGAGAACAUCCAAUUGCACAUGCUCAUUGCUGAACGGGUACAUGAACUAGAGCAAGCAUUAGGAGACAGCAAUUUUUUCUUUAUUUUCCCAGUUAUGGAUAAGUGGGAAACUAGAAGCCCCAAAGUAUUUUGGCAAACUUGUCUCACUACACAAUAAAAUAAUGUCCCGAGUCAAAUAUCAAAAAACAUAUAGUUGGCGAUACCUUCAAUCUUGUUAGACGGUAGAAGCGAGGUCACCUCUGGCGGGCACAAGGCCAUGCUACAGCAUAUCUGUCUGAGUCUUAGAAUUAUACCAAGCACAGCAGUGUAAUUACGCAUCACACUACCAGCAUUGAUAUAUUGCUCCACAGCACUCUUGGCUUCCCGUUCUAUACGGUCAUACAAUUCACGCUCCUCAAAAGACAGUUCGACAUAACAAGUCUCUAUUGUCUUUUGGGGCAAUCCGAUCAAAACCUCGUCCUUUGUCCUCCGUAGAGAAAGGGUGGCCAUGAGAACCUGAAAUGACGAAAAGGAUAUUGUAGUACCACAUAAAGUGCAUGCCUCACCCAAGAGCAAAAAUUAACAGUCACAACUAUUAGGCACAAAUUGUUUCAUAAGAUCAACACCGAAAAAUUACCUGCAGACGGGAAAGCCCUGUAUGGUUCAGUUGGCUGAGUGGAUGCUGAAUCAAGCUUUGCCAGUAGCUCUUUAUGGAGAAAGGCACAAACCGCAAAAAUACCAUCAAAGAGAACAAGUCCGAGGAAUUAUUCUGAAGGGGGUUUCCAGUAACAGCCCACCUCCUCCUAGCAUUUAAGCUAGUGACGGCUCGGCUCUGCUGGGCAUUCACAUUCUUAAUCACAUGCGCCUCAUCCAAGAUGACUCUCCACCAUUCUAUCUUUUUCAGAGGAGAUUCUUCCAGAGGUUGCUCAUUGGCCAAUAUCGCAUAUGUCGUCAGCACAAUGUCAUGUUUUCUGAGCUCCUCGGCAUCACUGGUCCUAUGUCCAUGAUAGCUAUACAAUGUCAUCCUAUCAGUGUGCUCGCCCAGCUGCGUUACCCAAGUGGGUAACACGGGGGGAGGGCAAACAACUAAGGUGGAUUUGGUGCCCUCCCAUGUCUCAUCAUCAUCUAGAGUCAUGCUACUCGAACUAUCGGGUCCAGUUCUACUCUUCUUAAGAGGCCGAGAGAUGCCCAUCUUCACCUUCCCCUUCCCCUUUCUCUUAGCAGAUUCAGACAUAACCAAGACCACCGAACCAUCAGAUUUAUCCAAGGCAAUCAAAGAAAGCAGGGUGAGAGUCUUACCAAGUCCCAUCUCAUCUGCGAAGAUACCACCUCGCAGAGGCUCCGGCCUGUUGUCUGGAGAGUGAUUGGUCAACACGUUAAUAUAUUUGCGACCCUUUUCCUCCCAAAAGGGAGGCAGUUCCCCGCUAUUCUCCUUCUGAACCAACCAACCCAACCCCUGUUUUUGGUGGGGGUAAAGAAGAGUCUUUAUGAACUCCGAGGGAGGCUCCAAAGGGUCCGUCUUCGCCUUCUUCUCGACACCCUGGCCGACCAACGUGAAACUCUCGUCCACGCCUCUCACCUCCUUCCCCACCGGCGGGGUGAGCAUCAACUUGCCUUCCAAGAUCGUUGACUUCACGUGCUCGAAGUCAUCAUCCCUCGCUAAUACUCGCACUUGGCAAUUGAUGAAAAACAGCUUCUCGACCCUAGGAACUUUGGGCACAAUGGCGUAGACGGAGAUCAGCUGAGAGUCUAUUAGUGGGGCCAAGACUUUGGCAGCUUCGCGCUUGAUGUAGCCGACCACCAUGCCCCUCGUGUUGAGGACUUGGAUGGCCAUCUCAUCAUCAGUGUUGGACGGCUCGCGGACAAGUGCCACUGUCUCGCCCGCUCUGAAGGUGCCGGCAUUGUGUUGGAUUCCAACUACGUUGACACUGAUCGAGCCGACGAGACUCGUCCGGCCGGGGAGAAAGAUGGGUUCCCCCAUUGUAGUAGAAGGUCUGUAGGGCGUGGGGUUUCAGAGCGACGGAGAAGGUGAGAGAGCCUCUCGUCUGUAAUUUGAAAUGGAGGAAUAGCAAGUAAAGUUAGAAGCGUGUUUGCUAACCCUAAAAAAUCCUUUAUAAGAGAAAAGCAGUGCAAAGCGUAAGCUUGCGUCGUUGCCCUGAGCAAUUCAUUCGUGUUUGAUUACUAAACAAUUAACUAAACUCAGAAGUCGAGUGCAAAAAAAAAAAAAAAAUAUAUAUAUAUAUAUAUAUAUAUAUAUAUAUAUAUACACGAAAUGAACGGACGCUUAAUGUCCACAUACCUCUACAUCUAAUCUAAUUAUUAUCAUUAAAUCCCAUUAUUAUUGAUUAAGCUUUAGUAAAAUUUUCUUUUCUAAAUAAAAGAUAAUACUUGAGAAUCUAAAUUUCAAAAGAAAAAUCAAUCCAAUGUAAAAGAAGGCUUCAGAAUCCUUCUUUUUACUUUUUAUUUCAAAUUAAAAAUAUACCAAUUUUUUGUGGAAAAAAAUUGAUUUACUAGAGUGCGUAUAUGUCCAUGCCAUUACAACAACAAUAACCCCCCAAAUUUAGAAAAAUCAAUAAUAUCUUUUUGUUUUAAUACACUAUACUUGGUAGUAUAAUUUUAAUCUUUUUUUCUAAAUAAAUUUUGCCACCAGUUAAGUUUACUCUCCGGUUACUACCAAGACUUAAAAACUUGCUUGCGCAUUUAUUCUCCGUGUAAUUAGACCCGUUAAACGGGUGGGUCGGGUCGGGUUUGAGUCGGAUCAUAUAUAGUCCAACCCAAAUCGACUCAUUUAACCUGUUUAUAAUCCGUUUAUUGCAAUGCAAAAAUUUUGAUCCAUAUCCGACCCGACCCGAUUCAUACCUAAUCCAUACCCAACCCAUUUAACCAAACUUAAUUUAUUAUUAUUAUAUAUAUAUAUGUAUUUAAAAAAAUGGUAUUGCUAAAAUAAUUUAAUACAACAAAAAUUUAAUGGAUAAUUUUUAUAAUUUUUAAAAUAAUUAUUUUUUUUAUUUUUAUUUUUUAUUUUUUCUUCUUCUUUGGCCGGCCGCCGGGCACUACAAUGGCCGACGGCCAGCCACAGGCGAGCCUCGAGCUCGCCUGACUUGCCGACACCAGCGAGCUCGAGGCUCACCAGAUCCCACGAGCUCGCCCGGCUCGCCGACACUGGUGAGCUCGAGGCUCGCCCGAUUCGGCGAGCUCAAGCUAGCCCGACGCCAGCGAGGCUCGAGCCUCGCCCGACGCCGGUGAGCUCGAGCCUCGCCAGACGUUGGCGAGGCCUCCGUCUCACCAGAUUCGGCGAGCUUGAGGUCUCUGCCUCGCCCAAUCUGGCAAGCUCGAGGCUCACUAACGUCAGGCAAGGCCUCCACCUCGCCAGAUCCGAUGAGCUUAAGCUCGCCCAACGCCGGCGAGCUCGAGGCUCGCCUGGCCGGUCGCCGGCCAUUGCCGUGCCGACGACCGGAGGAAGAAGAAAGAAAAAUAAAAAAAUAGAAUAAUUAUAAUUUCGAUUUUUUAAAAAAAAAAUUGUAAAGUUAAAAAGAGAAUAGAGAGAUUGUGAGGUUUUGGCUUUGGGUGAAAAUAAAUGGGUUGAUAAAUGGGUCUUAAAUGGGUGCAAUAUAUCUCACUCUCUUUAAUUUUAAAACUCAUUAUGGGUACUUUAGAAAAUAAGGCUUGACCCAUUAACGACCCAUUUAAAUAUAAAUGGGUCCAUAAAUGGGUCAAUGAUCCAUUUGACACCUCUAGUUAUGAUACACUAAAAUUCCAAAUAUAUAACCAUAUGACAUAUUUACUCAAAUCUGUUCAGCAAACAGUAUUACCAUAAUGCUCAAGUGACUUAGUCAAAAUAAAAAUGAUUUUGUUUUGACUGAAAAAUCAUCUAACGGAUUUUGAUAGAGGGUAAAUAUGCCACAUAGGUACAAGUUUGAUUUUAAGAAAAAGUUCAAAUAAAUGUAUUACAAUGAGUAUAAUUUAGAUUUUUUUUUUAUAACUUUUUCUUAAUUUUUUUUUAAAAGGGCUGAUUAGACUAAUUAGACGAUCUAGCUCGACACAAGCAACCGGAAACCAUCCUGAAUCGAGUGGUGCGGCUCCAUCCAGAUCUUAACUAAACCCAUUCUGAUGCUCACUACUAUAAAUAAUUGCAUAAGUCCGUUGGUGAAUGAGUCCGUAAAUCAUCAAUGAAUACAAGAGUUUCCCGUGGGUUUAUCUUUUAUAUAGGCUAUGUAAGAAUUGAGGCACAAGCCGGUCUUAUAUUAAGUAAGGAUAGUUAAGUAAACUUAACCAUUGUUAGUUGAAUUAUAGCAAGUACAGAGUAUUAAAAUCAAAUGAUCUUAUUGAAAUUUUUAGAUUUGUGUUUUGUGUUGCUAAUGAAAUACCUAGGACAUACGCAUGCCCUAGUAAUUGAAUUCUUUUAGCAUAAAAAAAGGGGCAUGACACAAAUUAAAAAAAAAAAAAAGUCAUUUUUUAGUAAACUUGCACAAAUCUCAAGAAUUCGCUUUAAUCUAGCAAAUAAAACUUUCAUAAAAGUCUAAAGAGAAACAAUGUAUCGAGAACCAAGCUAUUACUUUAACCAAUACGUUGGCAGUUGCUAACACAUGUGGAUGUUGCAAAUUAAUGGAAAUAAAACAAGGAAAAAACUUGAUCAUACAACCCAAAUGAUUUUUUGGUACAAUUUUACUUCCAAUGACCUAUCAAUUUCAAGUUUCUGAAAUUAAUUCCUCACUAUAUAUAGGCUCCCAACCUACUCACCUUAUCAAUAAUUGAAAAGCCAAACGCUUUAGCUAUCGGUUAAAAGCUUGGUCCAAUCCAAAGCGGAAGAGAAUAAUGGUCAUAAGCCAUUACCAUAAAAUACAGCUCGGUCGUACAAUCUUCGAUGUGGUAUAUUCCCAUGUCCCUGCCUCCUCCCUCUUCACUCAGCCGGGGCCAUGAAUGAAUCAUCAGCAAAGUAAAUACAAUUCGGUUUAAUGUGAUGCUUUUCAUUGGCCUCCAAAUAGAAGGAAGAAUUGGAUCCCAAGAACAGGGAGGUGUUCUCCAAGCUCUUAACAUCUAUGUACGUUUUGAGUAUUCAAGUCAAUCUCAAAAACCUGAAAUCGAAAGGUUCGAGUAGGUUCACGUUCUUUCCAUCGUGACGCAAACAAUAGAGGUCCGGUUGAUAAUCGCACUAAAUACUCUCCAGUUAUGAGCAACGGAUGUACCGUUGUUGGUCGAACUAGAUCCGGGUGCUCCCAAUGCAUAAGUCUUCGCGGCAUCUUGAAAAGUACUAUGCUACCCUCACAAUGGACAGCAACAAAAUGCCCCUUAUAAAAUAUGAGAUCCCAAAUAUCAUAAGUCUUCUCAGGAGUUCUCUUUAAUCUAGCAAAUAAAACUUUCAUAAAAGUCUAAAGAGAAACGAUGGUAUUUGAUGACAUAACUAGAUUAAAUGCAUAAUAAUGGAACGAUACUUGUUUAGUAACCAAACACAAACGAAUUGUGCAUGCAACGCAUUAUCUUUAUAUCCGUGCUUUGGCAACGGAAGAAAAUUAAAAAUCAGCUUGCAAGAAGAAAAAAAUUAAAAAUUCACUUCAUUCGAAAUGACAUAUCUUAUAUUUUGAAUGGCAUGCUUUCGAAUUCAUAAAAAGAUGUAUGUAAUUAUGAUUAAAACGACUCACGCAUUUUACCAAAAAGAAGAGAUCCAAAUAGUUUUCUUAUAGUGAAGUUUUAACAUUUCCCGUGGUCCACUUGUUUGUAGAAACAUUUAGUGUUUUAAGAAAAAUAUUAAUUUACAUACUAGAAGUAACUGCGAUUAACAGGGAAAAAAAAAAGUUUGAAGAUGUGGCUUAAUAGACCCACUUGUGGAUAAGUCCGUGCAUGGUCGGUUAUGGAAAAGUUUCCCAUUCAUAACAAAGCUGCGUCGUAUUUUUGAGUUGUCGGUGGUUUUUUUUUUGGUCGAAGUUGUCGGUGGCUUUGAUUCCCUUCGUUUUUUUUUUUCUCUCUCUUCUAGAUAAAGAAGCUUCAAAGGUGGUGGCGAAGCCCUAAAUUGACGCACUUUCUCACCAUUCUCUCUCAAAUUCUGCCGCUCUCUUUCCCAUUGUCGCCUCUCUCUCGCUCUAGCUCUCGCUCUCGCGCUUCCUUUCCCCUGUCUUCGGCCAUCGCUUCCGGUCUCACCCUCCAUAGCUCGCUUCCUGCCUUUAGCGCACAGAUCGCGGCGCGCGCGAUCUGUGCGCCCGGCACUCGCCGUCGUCGGUGUCUGCGGCCUCAACGGACGGCGUUCGUCACUCGUCAGGUCUCUACUUUAUCUCUCUUUCCCUCUCUCUCUCUCUCUCUCUCUCUCUCUUUCUCUUCUUGCGAGGCUGUCUUUCUCCCGGCCUCGAAGAUUUUGAUGCGAUUUAAGGUUCGCUCUUGGUUUUAUCUCUGUUAUUCAAUUCUAUUUGUUCUCCUCUCCCCCUCCCCCCCCCCCCCAAACGGCUUGAUGUUUAUGCUAUGGCGGAAGCGCUUGAGCCUGUAUAAUAUGGUGUUUAUCGGCCGGGUGCACCAUUGGCUUACAUCAAAUGUGGAUGUCAAAGAUCAUUAGAUUUUUGAUAUUUUGCGCCCCGAGAACUUUUUCUCAUGAUUAGGACUUUUAAGUUCAGCAAUGUCGCGUGUUUUUAUUCCUGAUUNNNNNNNNNNNNNNNNNNNNNNNNNNNNNNNNNNNNNNNNNNNNNNNNNNNNNNNNNNNNNNNNNNNNNNNNNNNNNNNNNNNNNNNNNNNNNNNNNNNNNNNNNNNNNNNNNNNNNNNNNNNNNNNNNNNNNNNNNNNNNNNNNNNNNNNNNNNNNNNNNNNNNNNNNNNNNNNNNNNNNNNNNNNNNNNNNNNNNNNNNNNNNNNNNNNNNNNNNNNNNNNNNNNNNNNNNNNNNNNNNNNNNNNNNNNNNNNNNNNNNNNNNNNNNNNNNNNNNNNNNNNNNNNNNNNNNNNNNNNNNNNNNNNNNNNNNNNNNNNNNNNNNNNNNNUAUAGAAUAACUGAAUACUCGCUCGUACCUUUUCGAGUUAAAAUAACUAAAUGAAAAUUCGGGCGGGUUAGUUUAUCUCCAACUUACAGUCUAUAGCCACGAAUGUAGGAGCCCGAGAAUUUAAAGUCUGAAAGAUAAAAGUCUUAGAGUUUGGUGAGUCCCUCCCCCCCCCCCCCCCCCCCCCCCCCCCGGAAGAAACAUCACCUGGAGGAUGUUCAAUUCUCUGAGAUACUGCCCUGCAUCUGCUCUGUAUGUCUUUCAUCAAUGAAUAAGGAGACUCGAUGAUGUUUUUAGUUUCUGCCUUAUCUGUAGUGGUGGUAAAUUUUAGCCACUUUAUCGCAACAAAAUCAGACAAAUACCACGUUAUUUUGUUUCCUCUUUGGUUGGACGAAAUAUUCCUCAGUUGUCAAUUAUUUAUAUUAGGAAUUGUAUUUUAAUCCGAUAAACUUAAUUGGUACGGUGCACGGGGUUCCUGGGUCAUACUUUGUUUCCUUUAUGCUUAGAAUUUGAAUUCCUAGCUAUUCAUCGUUACUAAUUCACAUCAUCAAAGCUGAUUUUCCCCUUAGAAUUUGAAUUCCUAUUGGGAUUAGGAGUCUAGUCCUUGUUCAUGAUUAAUUCACAUCAUGGAAGCUGGCUGAUUCUCUAUUGCCUCUUGUAGAAUUCUGUUUCAUAUCAAUUUGAUUGAGUUGAGAAUGGUGAGAAACUGGGCAGAUCUCUCACAAGAGUUGCUAGAACUAUGCUCGCAAAAUCUUUGUCCCAAGGACUUGUGGGCGUUCCGAGCAGUGUGCCAAUCUUGGCGAUCCGCUCCUCUUAAAGAGAGGAGCAAUGUCCCAUGGAUGAUGCUCGAGGACCAUCAUGAGACGCUGUGGCGCGAGUGUUUUUGCCUCUCAUGUCAGCGGGUUCACAGAGUGCUCAUGCCGGAAGCGAAGGGGAAGACAUGCUUCUCUUCACGGGGUUGGGUGUUCACGCUUGGCAGAGACUGGGAAGUCUACAUGUUGAAGAAUCCAAUGUCGCAUCACAAUUAUAUUAUUAAGCUUCCCAAGUUGAAGUUUCCUGACAUUGAAGACUUGCCUCACUAUGAUAAUUUCAGCGCUAAGUUCGUCCUAUCUGCUAGCCCUACUACAUCUCUAGAUUACAUGGUCAUGGUCAUCUACGGGAGGGGUGGACGGCUUGGUUUUUGGAAACCUGGCGACAAGGAGUGGACGGCAGUGGAUUACCCCAGCCCCACGUGUUGGGAUCUCGUAUUUUACAAGGGGUGUUUUGUUGCUGUCGAUUGUGAGGGUAGCAUAUUGAGGUGUGACGUGAAUGGACCAACUCCGUUCGAAACUCAAGUAAUUUUCAGGAUGCCGCGAAGACUUGUGCAUUGGGAGCACCCAGAUCUAGUUCAACCAACGACGGGACAUCGGCUGCUCAUGUCUGGAGUGUAUUUAGUGCAAUCACCAACCGGAUCUCUAUUGUUUGUGUCACGAUGGGAAGAACGUGAACCUGCUCGAACCUUUCGAUUUCAGGUUUUCGAGAUUGACUUGAAUACUCAAACGUACACAGAAGUUAAGAGCUUGGGGAGCACAUCCCUGUUCUUGGGAUCCAAUUCUUCCUUCUAUUUGGAGGCCAAUGAAGAGCAUCACAUUAAGCCGG
rnacentral:lncRNA from 1 species